AUUGAACGCUGGCGGCAUGCCUUACACAUGCAAGUCGAACGGUAACGGGCCUUCGGGUGCCGACGAGUGGCGGACGGGUGAGUAAUACAUCGGAACGUGCCCGAUCGUGGGGGAUAACGAGGCGAAAGCUUUGCUAAUACCGCAUACGAUCUACGGAUGAAAGCCGGGGACCGCAAGGCCUUGCGCGGGCGGAGCGGCCGAUGGCAGAUUAGGUAGUUGGUGGGGUAAAAGCUUACCAAGCCGACGAUCUGUAGCUGGUCUGAGAGGAUGAUCAGCCACACUGGGACUGAGACACGGCCCAGACUCCUACGGGAGGCAGCAGUGGGGAAUUUUGGACAAUGGGCGCAAGCCUGAUCCAGCCAUGCCGCGUGCAGGAUGAAGGCCUUCGGGUUGUAAAAUGCUUUUGUAAGGAAAGAAAAGCCUUCUUUUAAUACAGGAGGGUCAUGACGGUACCGAAAGAAUAAGCACCGGCUAACUACGUG
rnacentral:rRNA from 1 species